AGCGGCGGACGGGUGAGUAACGCGUGGGUAACCUGCCCUAUACACAUGGAUAACAUACUGAAAAGUUUACUAAUACAUGAUAAUAUAUAUUUGCGGCAUCGCAGAUAUAUCAAAGUGUUAGCGGUAUAGGAUGGACCCGCGUCUGAUUAGCUAGUUGGUGAGAUAACUGCCCACCAAGGCGACGAUCAGUAGCCGACCUGAGAGGGUGAUCGGCCACAUUGGAACUGAGACACGGUCCAAACUCCUACGGGAGGCAGCAGUGGGGAAUAUUGCACAAUGGGCGAAAGCCUGAUGCAGCAACGCCGCGUGAACGAUGAAGGUCUUCGGAUCGUAAAGUUCUGUUGCAGGGGAAGAUAAUGACGGUACCCUGUGAGGAAGCCCCGGCUAACUACGUGCCAGCAGCCGCGGUAAUACGUAGGGGGCUAGCGUUAUCCGGAUUUACUGGGCGUAAAGGGUGCGUAGGUGGUCCUUCAAGUCGGUGGUUAAAGGCUACGGCUCAACCGUAGUAAGCCGCCGAAACUGGAGGACUUGAGUGCAGGAGAGGAAAGUGGAAUUCCCAGUGUAGCGGUGAAAUGCGUAGAUAUUGGGAGGAACACCAGUAGCGAAGGCGGCUUUCUGGACUGCAACUGACACUGAGGCACGAAAG
rnacentral:rRNA from 1 species